UACGUAGGUGGCAAGCGUUGUCCGGAUUUAUUGGGCUUAAAGGGUGCGUAGGCGGUCUUAUAAGUCAGUGCUGGAAUAUCCCGGCUUAACCGGGAGGGUGGCAUUGAUACUGUAGGACUUGAGUAAAGUUGAGGUUGGCGGAAUUGACGGUGUAGCGGUGAAAUGCUUAGAUAUCGUCAAGAACACCGAUAGUGUAGACAGCUAACUAAGCUUUAACUGACGCUGAGGCACGAAAGUGUGGGGAUCAAACAGG
rnacentral:rRNA from 1 species